CCCUUAGAUGUUCUGGGCGGCCCGCGCACUACAAUGGCGCUUUCAGCGAGUUCCUAUGUUGAAUUUUCCUGGGUAUUCUUGGAAGCGGCGUCUUGACUUGGGAUAGAUCCUUGUAAUUGUUGGUUUUGAACGAGGAAUUCCUUGUAAUCGCGGUUGAUCAGCUCGCGUUGAAUACGUCCCUGCCCUUUGUGCACACCGCCCGUCGCUCCUACCGAUGAAUCGUCCGGUGAAGUUCACAGAGUGGCGGUUCGUGGAGUUGCUCGCGAAGUGAAAUGGACCUCACGAUUUAGAGGAAGGAGAAGUCGUAACA
rnacentral:rRNA from 1 species